GAUGAACGCUAGCGAUAGGCUUAACACAUGCAAGUCGAGGGGCAGCAUGGUCUUAGCUUGCUAAGACUGAUGGCGACCGGCGCACGGGUGCGUAACGCGUAUGCAACUUGCCUCACAGAGGGGGAUAACCCGUCGAAAGACGGACUAAUACCGCGUACACUCCAUCUUGGGCAUCCAAGGUAGAGGAAAUGAAAUUCGCUGUGAGAUAGGCAUGCGUCCCAUUAGCUAGUUGGUGAGGUAACGGCUCACCAAGGCGACGAUGGGUAGGGGAACUGAGAGGUUGAACCCCCACACUGGUACCGAGACACGGACCAGACUCCUACGGGAGGCAGCAGUGAGGAAUAUUGGUCAAUGGGCGAGAGCCUGAACCAGCCAAGUCGCGUGAAGGAUGACUGUCUUAUGGAUUGUAAACUUCUUUUAUACGGGAAUAACAAGAGUCACGUGUGACUCCCUGCAUGUACCGUAUGAAUAAGCAUCGGCUAACUCCGUG
rnacentral:rRNA from 1 species